rnacentral:misc_RNA from 1 species
GAUGAAGAACUUAGCGAAAUGCGAUAAGUAGUGUGAAUUGCAGAAUUCAGUGAAUCAUCGAAUCUUUGAACGCACAUUGCGCCCCUUGGUAUUCCAUGGGGCAUGCCUGUUCGAGCGUCAUUUGUACCUUCAAGCUUUGCUUGGUGUUGGGUGUUUGUCUCGCCUUUGCGUGUAGACUCGCCUUAAAAUAAUUGGCAGCCGGCGUAUUGAUUUCGGAGCGCAGUACAUCUCGCGCUUUGCACUCAUAACGACAGCGUCCAAAAGUACAUUUUACACUCUUGACCUCGGAUCAGGUAGGGAUACCCGCUGAACUUAAGCAUAUCAAUAAGCGGAGGA